UAGGGAAUCUUCCGCAAUGGGCAAAAGCCUGACGGAGCAACGCCGCGUGAGUGAUGAAGGUCUUCGGAUCGUAAAACUCUGUUAUUAGGGAAGAACAUAUGUGUAAGUAACUGUGCACAUCUUGACGGUACCUAAUCAGAAAGCCACGGCUAACUACGUGCCAGCAGCCGCGGUAAUACGUAGGUGGCAAGCGUUAUCCGGAAUUAUUGGGCGUAAAGCGCGCGUAGGCGGUUUUUUAAGUCUGAUGUGAAAGCCCACGGCUCAACCGUGAAGGGUCAUUGGAAACUGGAAAACUUGAGUGCAGAAGAGGAAAGUGGAAUUCCAUGUGUAGCGGUGAAAUGCGCAGAGAUAUGGAGGAACACCAGUGGCGAAGGCGACUUUCUGGUCUGUAACUGACGCUGAUGUGCGAAAGCGUGGGGAUCAAACAGGAUUAGAUACCCUGGUAGUCCACGCCGUAAACGAUGAGUGCUAAGUGUUAGGGGGUUUCCGCCCCUUAGUGCUGCAGCUAACGCAUUAAGCACUCCGCCUGGGGAGUACGACCGCAAGGUUG
rnacentral:rRNA from 1 species